rnacentral:misc_RNA from 1 species
UCCGGUUUGUCACCGGCAGUCUCCGAUGAGUCCCCAACUAAAUGAUGGCAACUAAGAACAAGGGUUGCGCUCGUUGCGGGACUUAACCCUACAUCUCACGACACGAGCUGACGACAACCAUGCACCACCUGUCACCACUGUCCCCGAAGGGAAAGCCAUGUCUCCAUGACGGUCAGUGGGAUGUCAAGACCUGGUAAGGUUCUUCGCGUUGCUUCGAAUUAAACCACAUGCUCCACCGCUUGUGCGGGCCCCCGUCAAUUCCUUUGAGUUUCAGUCUUGCGACCGUACUCCCCAGGCGGAGUGCUUAAUGCGUUAGCUGCAGCACUAAGGGGCGGAAACCCCCUAACACUUAGCACUCAUCGUUUACGGCAUGGACUAC